rnacentral:rRNA from 1 species
UAGGGAAUAUUGGGCAAUGGACGGAAGUCUGACCCAGCCAUGCCGCGUGCAGGAUGAAGGCCUUCUGGGUUGUAAACUGCUUUUAUCUGGGAAGAAAACACCUAUGCGUAGGAAACUGACGGUACCAGAUGAAUAAGCACCGGCUAACUCCGUGCCAGCAGCCGCGGUAAUACGGAGGGUGCAAGCGUUGUCCGGAUUUAUUGGGUUUAAAGGGUGCGUAGGCGGCCCGUUAAGUCCGUGGUGAAGGCCUCCAGCUCAACUGGAGAACUGCCAUGGAUACUGGCGGGCUUGAGUACAGACGAGGUUGGCGGAAUUGAUUGUGUAGCGGUGAAAUGCAUAGAUACAAUCAAGAACUCCGAUUGCGUAGGCAGCCAACUAGGCUGUAACUGACGCUGAGGCACGAAAGCGUGGGGAGCGAACAGGAUUAGAUACCCUGGUAGUCCACGCCGUAAACGAUGAUUACUCGAUGUCGCGAUAAACUGUCGGCGUC